GACUGGAGCCAUGACGCAGCCAGAGCACAUUACUCACUUUUACAGUCACGACUUGGAAAUCCGUGCAGUUUCCAACCAAAAUUACACCGCCACCAUUGAAUUAUUUAAUAGGAUCCAGUUAAGGAUUAGAGCCAUUGCAUGCGGUCUUGGCCAGGAGGUGCUCUCACCCCAGCCCAGUGUACUGUGCUAUACUGAUGUUCAUGGCUGCAUCAUGCCAUUGUCUGCAGGAUCCGCAAUUGUUGCUGGGCUUUGUGUGGUCUCAGUCUGCGGCUAAGCCCCCUUCCACGGCGGUUUCGGAGGGGAUACCAUUGUCCGGGAUAACGCGAUGUUGCAUGUGAGUGCCAGACGGUGUUUCCUCGUCUCUUUUAAUGCAAUCUGAUGACAUGCCUUUGCUAGCCGGAAUGCCUGCGAACCUGCAUGCUCGUAGCCUAGCGAGAACUUCCCUGGCUCUCAGAAGCGGUGAGGGGGUGACGGGUGGUUGCAGCACCGAGGUAACCCUACAUAGCUGCUCCGUAUACACCACAACAAUCCCCUACUACUUCGCCUCUAAUUCAGUCAUUUCACCAACUCCGCUGCUGAGGGUAUGACUAAGGACGCGAAGGACGGGCAAUAAUAAAAACAGACGCUCGCACACACGCGAUCUGCAGAAAGUGUGAGCACUUAGAGGGGGAAAAUGAGGUGGGAGGAGAAGGGGUGAGUCCAAAUAAAGCAACCUAUAGCCUCUUAUUUUGCGGAGCACCAUCAUCAGGUACAGGCUCUUUCAAACUCACGGGCGGGAAGGGCAGGCGGCGCCGGGCGGAGGAGCGGCGGCGGGGAAGCCGCCGCGGGAGCGGCGCUGCGAGCGGCGCAGCGCGGCCCCCGCCCGGCGGGCACCGGGGCCGGGACCGACUCCCGCCCGUGGCGGCAGCGGCGGCGGCGGAGCGGCGGCGGGUUCAGCACCGGGGCGCGGACAGCUCCCGGCGGCCGCCCUGCGGGGAGCGGCCGGCCUGCGCCCCCGGCCCCGCCGCCGGCUCUGCCUCUCCCCCCGCGGAGGGCGAAAAUAGAGGGGGGGGCGGGCAGGGAGAGGGGCUCAACAGCGCCGACAGAGAGAGAGAGAGAGUUGCAGCUCGCUAUUGAUUCAGAGAUUUACCGACAGGGUGAUUCCCCUUUCUGCAAGAAUUCCCUCUGUCUGAGCUCCGGGCAUGCACCAAAUUCAUUAUGUAGACGAGUAUAUCCCUCUCGCUUUAGAGGAAAAGUAGAAAGGAAGGAAAAAAUAAUCCAGGCAUGCAUAAAAUAAAGACAAGACUCACAGCC